AAAUAAAAUUUUAUACAAAAUUAAUAAAAAAUAACUUUAUCAAAUAUAGAAAUCCAUCCUCUUUUGUUUUCUCCUUUCUUUCCAAAGUAGAUAAACAAUCUCUCCUUUUCAUUUAUCUUUUUUUAAAAAAUUUUGAACCUAACAAUGGAUAGAGAUCAUUCAUUCUUCCAACUCUAUCUAUUCUUUCUCUCGUGAUCUCUCAAUCAAACAUAGAAUUAGGCUUAGGAUUCUCUCACAAUGCCUAACUGCUUAAGAUUUUCUUGCUUAGGGUGUGGGGUUUGUUGAGGGCUUCGCAUCAAAAGCCAUGAAAAAAAUGGUACAUAUGUUUCUUCCCUCGUAUUCCACGGCUCCGAUUAGGAUUUUGAAAGGAUCUGAUAUCUCCUCUCCUUCCUCUUCUUCUUUUCAUAGCCAUUGCACAAAACUUUCAAGAUCAAAAAAGCUGGCAAAAAAGAUGAGAACCACCCCAUUCCCCC
rnacentral:lncRNA from 1 species